UUUAACUGAGCGUUCAGUUACUUGACGUAGACCCGAAACCGGGCGACCUACCCAUGAGCAGGAUGAAGCGAAAGUAAAAUUUCGUGGAGGUCCGAACCCACGAGCGUUGAAAAGCUCGGGGAUGACUUGUGGGUAGCGGUGAAAUUCCAAUCGAGCCCGGAGAUAGCUGGUUCUCCCCGAAAUAGCUUUAGGGCUAGCCUCAAGGUGAGAGAUACGGAGGUAGAGCACUGAAUGUCCUAGGGGGUAUUGCACCUACCGAAGACUAUCAAACUCCGAAUGCCGUCAUCUUAUACUUGGGAGUCAGACUGUGGGUGAUAAGAUUCAUAGUCGAAAGGGCAACAGCCCAGAUCGUCAGCUAAGGUCCCUAAAUGUAAGUUAAGUGGUAAAGGAUGUGGGAUUGCACAGACAACCAGGAUGUUCGCUUAGCAGCAGCCACUCAUUCAAAGAGUGCGUAAUAGCUCACUGGUCGAGUGAUCCUGCGCCGAAGAUGUCCGGGGCUAAAACUUACUACCGAAGCUACGGCAUCAGUAAUGAGGGGUAGGGGAGCUUCCCAUACGGGUUGAAGCAUGACCGUAAGGACAUGUGGACAGUAUGGGAGUGAGAAUGUUGGCAUGAGUAGCGAGAUGUGGGUGAGAAGCCCACAGGCCGUAAACCCAAGGUGUCCAGGGGAAGGUUCGUCCGCCCUGGGUUAGUCGGGACCUAAGCUGAGGCCGAAAGGCGUAGGUGAUGGACAACAGGUUGAUAUUCCUGUACUACCGAUAACCGUUUGAGAGAUGGGAUGACACAGUAGGAUAAGCUAAGCACACUGUUGGUUAUGUGUGCCCAAGCAUUGAGGCAGUCAAAGUAGGCAAAUCCGCUUUGAUAAUGCUGGGAUGUGAUGGGGAGCGAAAUUUAGUAGCGAAGUAGCUGAUUUCACACUGUCAAGAAAAGUCUCUAUCGAGGUUAAAGGUACCCGUACCGCAAACCGACACAGGUG
rnacentral:rRNA from 1 species